rnacentral:rRNA from 1 species
CCUACGGGUGGCAGCAGUGAGGAAUAUUGGUCAAUGGACGAGAGUCUGAACCAGCCAAGUAGCGUGAAGGAUGACUGCCCUAUGGGUUGUAAACUUCUUUUAUAAAGGAAUAAAACGAGGCACGUGUGCCUUUUUGCAUGUACUUUAUGAAUAAGGAUCGGCUAACUCCGUUCCAGCAGCCGCGGUAAUACGGAGGAGCCGAGCUUUAUCCGGAUUUAUUGGGUUUAAAGGGAGCGUAGAUGGGUUGUUAAGUCAGUUGUGAAAGUUUGCGGCUCAACCGUAAAAUUGCAAUUGAUACUGGCAGUCGUGAGUACAGUUGAGGUAGGCGGAAUUCGUGGUGUAGCGGUGAAAUGCUUAGAGAUCACGAAGAACCCCGAUUGCGAAGGCAGCUUACUAAACUGUGACUGACAUUGAUGCUCGAAAGUGUGGGUAUCAAACAGGAUUAGAUACCCCGGUAGUC